AUUGAACACUGUCGGCAGGCCUAACACAUGCAAGUCGAACGAGUGGCGGACGGGUGAGUAAUGUCUGGGAAACUGCCCGAUGGAGGGGGAUAACUACUGGAAACAGUAGCUAAUACCGCAUACCAUCGGAUGUGCCCAGCUGGGAUUAGCUAGUAGGUGGGGUAACGGAGCACCUAGGCGACGAUCCCUAGCUGGUCUGAGAGGAUGACCAGCCACAGUGGAACUGAGACACGGGCCAGACUCCUACGGGAGGCAGCAGUGGGGAAUAUGGCAAAAUGGGCGCAAGCCUGAUGCAGCCAUGCCGCGUGUAUGAAGAAGGCCUUCGGGUUGUAAAGUACUUUCAGCGAGGAGGCGUUACUCGCAGAAGAAGCAUCGGCUAACUCCGUGCCAGCAGCCGCGGUAAUAC
rnacentral:rRNA from 1 species